UUUGGUCUGUUACAAUCCAA
rnacentral:snRNA from 1 species